UCGGGGUGCGUCAUUUUGACAAGACUCAGAAGAAAGCAUAUCUAGGGUACGUCAUUCCUGACAGCUACCAGGAGUUAUUAGAAAUCUAGUAAUUGAUCAAAAAUUAAUCACGGAAUUGAAAAACAUUCAGGAAACACAGAUUCUUUCGUGCUGUCGAUUCAAUCACGGAUAAAUAUUUCUUUACGUGUUACACGCACAUAUCUACCAAGAACGGAAUUACGACAAUGCAGCGUGAAUAUAGGGUGAAUCAACUAUGCCAACUAAAUUCUGGGGUGUUUCCGAAGAUAAUUUGAAUAAUAAUCCGACCAUAAAGACUAGAGACGAAGACGCUGAUCAACCCCUGGAAGCUGUGAAGGUGGAGGACAAGGGGCAACGUCGGCAACGCCGGCAGACUUGACAAGGGUAUCGUAGUCUCCGGAAGGAUGUUCUUCUAUAUGAUAGUGGAAAAUCAAUUCAAAC